rnacentral:sRNA from 1 species
UGCAAUAGAAUAGGAUUUCUCAAGGGUGGUCGGAUCACUCCUAUUGAAAGGGGGUGAUGCCGUUUGACAGUUUAUCAAGCUUUGAUGCUGGCAUUUUCAUUUGCAAGUCUCAUUGUCACUGUGCUGUCAUUUUACAAAAAAAAAUAAUCCACCCUUGAGCCGACAAGCAUAAGCGGUGGACUAUUUCUUACCAAUAUGCCGACUCCCCAUGGGGAACCGACUAUUGCAUGGACCGAGUAAGCUUACGCCAUGCUCG